rnacentral:rRNA from 1 species
AUUGAACGCUGGCGGCAGGCCUAACACAUGCAAGUCGAACGAGUGGCGGACGGGUGAGUAAUGUCUGGGAAACUGCCCGAUGGAGGGGGAUAACUACUGGAAACGGUAGCUAAUACCGCAUACCAUCGGAUGUGCCCAGAUGGGAUUAGCUAGUAGGGGGGGUAACGGCUCACCUAGGCGACGAUCCCUAGCUGGUCUGAGAGGAUGACCAGGCACACUGGAAAUGAGAACCGGUCAAGACUCCCACGGGAGGCAGCAGUGGGGAAGAUUGCACAAUGGGCGCAAGAACGAUGCAGCCAUGCCGCGUGUAUGAAGAAGGCCCUCGGGUUGUAAAGUACUUUCAGCGGGGAGGCGUUACUCGCAGAAGAAGCACCGGCUAACUCCGUGCCAGCAGCCGCGGUAAUUC